rnacentral:rRNA from 1 species
CCUAGUUGAUCCUGCCAGUAGUCAUAUGCUUGUCUCAAAGAUUAAGCCAUGCAUGUCUCCAGCCAGUGCAUGCCGAAUUAAAGUGAAACCGCGAAUGGCUCAUUAAAUCAAUUAUGGUUCAUUAGAUUGUACCCACAUUUACUUGGAUAACUGUGGUAAUUCUAGAGCUAAUACAUGCAANACAGAGUCCCAACCAGUGGUGGGAGAAACGCUUUUAUUAGAUUAAAACCAAUCGGUGGCGGACGAUCUCUUGCUGCUUGUUUACCGUUCAUUUGGGUACUUCUCAAUAACUUUGAGCUGAUCGCACGGUCCUAGCACCGGCGACGCAUCUUUCAAAUAUCUACCUUAUCAAUUGUCAAUGGCAGGUUCUGCGGCUACUAUGGUUGUAAAGAGUAACGGGGAAUCAGGGUUCGAUUCCAGAGAGGGAGACUGAGAAACGGCUACCACAUCCAAGGAAGGCAGCAGGCGCGCAAAAUACCUACUCCCGGCACGGGGAGGUAGUGACNAAAAUUAACAAUACGGGACUCAUCCAAGGCCCCGUAAUCGGAAUGAGUACACUUUAAAUCUUUUACCAAGAAUUCAUUGGAGAACAAGUCUUGUGCCAGCAGCCGCGGUAAUUCCAGCUCGAAUAGCGUAUAUUAAAGUUGUUGCGGUUAAAAAUCUUGUAGUUAAAUCUGUGUCGCACACCGUCGGUUCACCGCUCGCGGUGUCUAACUGGCGUAAUGUGAGACGUCCUACCGGUGGGCUCAGCUUCGAGAGAGAUGGCCCAAUUAAUAUCCCGUUGCGGUGUUCUUUACUGAAUGUCGAGUUGAGCCGGUACGUUUACUUUGAACGAAUUAGAGUGCGUAAAGCAGGCUAGCUUCGCUUGAAUACUGUGUGCAGAAAAUAAUGGAAUAGGACUUUGGUUCUAUUUUGUUGGUUUUGGGAACCCCGAAGUAAUGAUUAAUAGGAACAGAUAGGGGCAUUUGUAUUGCGACGUUAGAGGUGAAAUUUUUGGAUUGUCUUGAGACGGAAGCAAAAGCAUUUGCCAAAAAUGUUUUCAUUAAUCAAGAACAAAAGUUAGAGGUUCAAAGACGAUCAGAUAACACCCUAGUUCUAACCAUAAACGAUGCCAAUUAGCGAUCUGCCAAAGUUUCUCCGAUGACUCGGCGGGCUGCUUCCGGGAAACCAAAGUUUUGGAUUCCGGAGGAAGUAUGGUUGCAAAGCUGAAACUUAAAGAAAUUUACGGAAGGGCACCACCAGGAGCCUGCGGCUUAAUUUGACUCAACACGAGAGACCUCACCAGGCCCAGACACCGGAAAGAUUGACAGAUUGAUAGCUCUUUCUUGAUUCGGUGAGUGGUGGUGCAUGGCCGUUCUUUGGUGGAACGAUUUGUCUGGUUAAUUCCAAUAACAAACGAGACUUUAGCCUGCUAAAUAGGCGAUACCUUAUGGUAUCGCAAAGACUCCCGGUUUCGGCCGGCGGGUUUUUACUACCAACGUACAAACUAUUCUUCUUAGAGGGACAGGCGGCUUCUAGCCGCACAAGAUUGAGCAAUAACAAGUCUGUGAUGCCCUUAGAUGUUCUGGGCCGCACGCGCGCUACACUGAAGAAAUCAGCGUGUGUUCCCUGACCGAAAGACUCGAGUAACCCGCUGAACCUUCUUUGUGCUAAGGAUUGGGGCUUGCAAUUGUUCUUGUGCGGCGUAUAGUAAACUCGCGAUAAUCGCAGCAAAAUCCGGACAAUUCCGUCUGGCGCAUUCAG